CGGUAACAGGAAGCAGCUUGCUGCUUUGCUGACGAGUGGCGGACGGGUGAGUAAUGUCUGGGAAACUGCCUGAUGGAGGGGGAUAACUACUGGAAACGGUGGCUAAUACCGCAUAACGUCGCAAGACCAAAGAGGGGGACCUUCGGGCCUCUUGCCAUCAGAUGUGCCCAGAUGGGAUUAGCUUGUUGGUGAGGUAACGGCUCACCAAGGCGACGAUCCCUAGCUGGUCUGAGAGGAUGACCAGCCACACUGGAACUGAGACACGGUCCAGACUCCUACGGGAGGCAGCAGUGGGGAAUAUUGCACAAUGGGCGCAAGCCUGAUGCAGCCAUGCCGCGUGUAUGAAGAAGGCCUUCGGGUUGUAAAGUACUUUCAGCGGGGAGGAAGGUGUUGUGGUUAAUAACCGCAGCAAUUGACGUUACCCGCAGAAGAAGCACCGGCUAACUCCGUGCCAGCAGCCGCGGUAAUACGGAGGGUGCAAGCGUUAAUCGGAAUUACUGGGCGUAAAGCGCACGCAGGCGGUCUGUCAAGUCGGAUGUGAAAUCCCCGGGCUCAACCUGGGAACUGCAUUCGAAACUGGCAGGCUUGAGUCUUGUAGAGGGGGGUAGAAUUCCAGGUGUAGCGGUGAAAUGCGUAGAGAUCUGGAGGAAUACCGGUGGCGAAGGCGGCCCCCUGGACAAAGACUGACGCUCAGGUGCGAAAGCGUGGGGAGCAAACAGGAUUAGAUACCCUGGUAGUCCACGCCGUAAACGAUGUCUACUUGGAGGUUGUGCCCUUGAGGCGUGGCUUCCGGAGCUAACGCGUUAAGUAGACCGCCUGGGGAGUACGGCCGCAAGGUUAAAACUCAAAUGAAUUGACGGGGGCCCGCACAAGCGGUGGAGCAUGUGGUUUAAUUCGAUGCAACGCGAAGAACCUUACCUGGUCUUGACAUCCACAGAAGAAUCCAGAGAUGGAUUUGUGCCUUCGGGAACUGUGAGACAGGUGCUGCAUGGCUGUCGUCAGCUCGUGUUGUGAAAUGUUGGGUUAAGUCCCGCAACGAGCGCAACCCUUAUCCUUUGUUGCCAGCGGUUAGGCCGGGAACUCAAAGGAGACUGCCAGUGAUAAACUGGAGGAAGGUGGGGAUGACGUCAAGUCAUCAUGGCCCUUACGACCAGGGCUACACACGUGCUACAAUGGCGCAUACAAAGAGAAGCGACCUCGCGAGAGCAAGCGGACCUCAUAAAGUGCGUCGUAGUCCGGAUUGGAGUCUGCAACUCGACUCCAUGAAGUCGGAAUCGCUAGUAAUCGUGGAUCAGAAUGCCACGGUGAAUACGUUCCCGGGCCUUGUACACACCGCCCGUCACACCAUGGGAGUGGGUUGCAAAAGAAGUAGGUAGCUUAACCUUCGGGAGGGCGCUUACCACUUUGUGAUUCAUGACUGGGGUGAAGUCGUAACAAGGUAACCGUAGGGGAACCUGCGGUUGGAUCACCUCCUUACCUUAAAGAAGC
rnacentral:rRNA from 1 species